UAUGAAGUGCCUGAUAAAAGGGCUAUCUUGAUAGGAUAGAUUAUGCACAGCAAAUGCCUUCAUUA
rnacentral:tRNA from 1 species